rnacentral:lncRNA from 1 species
GUCAGUAAGGCAGGGAGAGGACCAACACAAUGGCACUGAUCCUCAAGAAAAUCAUUCUCAGCUUCUAAAGUUAUAAUAAUUCUCAGCUAAAGGAAGCAUACUGAACACAAGUGAGCACACCAGAUGCUGGAGCACUCCUGGGAAGAGAAACAGAAAGAGGAGGAGGAAGGGUGCCAAAAACAAUGUCUUAUUUGGCCAUUUUUCCCUUGACCCUAAUGCUAGAAAGGAAGGAGAGAGGGAAGCUUAAAUAAUUUAUAAAAUCCUGGUGAAUUGUCAAUUAAGUAAAUCCUUUUUAAAAUUUUGUUUUCUUUUAUCUUCUUUUGUUUCUUUUCUAUUAUUUAGUCCUUUAUUACCUGCACUACACAGAUGUAAAAGUAGGUAACUUUUGAAUUAAACUAUACAGUGUGUGAUCCACGGAAAACUUACAUCAUGCUACAUUCACCUGCAAGUUUUUGGCAAAUGUGAAUUUAUUAGUCAUUGAAAUAAGCCAGAAAAAAUGAAACAUACUGGUUUUGUCUUAAGCUUCCCUAGCCCUUCUCUCUCCUUGGUUCAAAUGAGUCACUGACCUGCUCUAGUACACAUCUUGGAAUCUUCGUAACUUCAUAACUUUAUCUUUUGUGAGUUCUUUCAUGCCUGGUUUGAAACUAAGGAAGUGGAAGCAGGGAAGAUAGAAGUGGAAAAUAAUGGAAUUGCUGGAAGAAAAGAAAACUAAGAGAAGAGUCACUUACCAGGACCCAUCA